CGUUAUGUAAAUAUGUGCAAAUUAUAAACAAAAAAAAGCUGGGAUGGCUAUACUAAUAACAGACAAAUUAGAUGUUAAGUAAAAACAUGUUACAAGAGCAAAGAUGGACAUUUUAUGUUGUUAAGUUUCAAUUUAUCAAAAAGAUAUAACAAUUAUAAACAUAUAUGCACCAUAUGACAGCCAGAAAAUAUAUAAAACAAACCUUUAGAAAACUGAAGGGAGAAAUAUACAGUUCUACAAUAAUAGUUGGAGACCUUAAUGCCUCACUUUCCACAAUUGAUAGACAAGUAGAAAGAAAACCAAUAAGGAAGUAGGAGGCUUGAACAAUACUACAAAACCAACUAGACCCCAGAGACACGUACAGAACAUUCCACUCAACAAUAGCAGAAUACAGUCUUCUCAAGUACACAUGGGACAUUCUUCAGGAUAGACUAUAUGUUCUUCCAUAAAACAAUUAUCUAUAAGCUUAAAAAGACUAAGGUGAUACAUACUAUCUUUUUGAACCACAAUAAAAUGAGUAAUCAAUACAGAAGGAAAACUAGAAAAUUCACAAACACCUGGAACUAAGCAAUAUACUUGUUCACAAAAAGUAUAUUGCUUCACAACAAGUAUAUUGCUUAGUUCCAGGUAUUUGUGAAUUUUCUUUAGUGGUUUAAAGAAUAAAUCACUAGAGAAAUUAGAUAAUAAUUUAAGAUGACUGAAAACAAAAACAAACAUUCCAAAACUUACAAAAUGCAGGAAAAACUGUAUUCAGAGAAAAAUUUACAGCUGUAAAUGCCUGCAUUAAAAAAGAAAAAUAUCAAAUCAACCUAAAUUUACACAUUAAGAAAACAGACAAAGAAGAGCAAACUAAAUCCAAAGCCAGCAGAAGAUAAUGAAGAUCCGAAAAGAGAAAAAUGAAAUAGAGAAAAAAAUAUAAUCCAUGAGAUCAAAGAAAAUACCAACAAAAUUGAUAAAUCCUUAGCUAGACUACUAAGAAAAAAGAGAGAAGACAUAAAUAAGUAGAAUCAGAAAUAAAGGUAGGGAUAUUACUGCUGACCUUACAGAAAUUAAAAGUAUUAUAAGAGAAUUAUAGGAACAAUUCGUAUGACAACAAGUUAGAUAAUCUAGGUGAAAUAGACAAAUUCCAUGACUUACCAAAAAUAACUUAAAAGAAACACAAAGUCUCAACAGACCUAUAUAUAACAAAAAGACCUAUAUAAGUAAAAAGAUUAAAUCCGUCAAAACUCUUCCAUCGAAGAAAUAGCCUAGACCAUAUAGGUUCACCCAUAAGUUCUGUCAAACAUUUAAAGAUGAAUUAAUAUCAUUCUUACUCAAAAAUCUCCAAAAAUAGAAGAGGAAAGAAUACUUCCUAACACGUUCUAUGAGGCCAGCAUUAUCCUGAUACCAAAGUCAGAUAAAGAUACCAUAAGAAAAAUAUAGACCAAUAUCCCUUAUGAGUAUAGAUGCAAACACCGUCAACAAAAUAUUAACAAGCCAAAUCCCACAGAACAUUAAAAAAAUUAUGCACUAUGACCAAGUGGGAUUUAUCCCAGAAAUGCGAGGGUGGUUCAACAUAAGAAGGUCAAUGUAAUAUACACUAAAAAAAAAAAAAGUCAUCUCAAUACUACUAAGGAAAAAAAAAUCAUCUCAAUACUAAAAGUAUUUGACUAAAUUCAACACCCUUUCAUGAUAAAAAAACAUUUAGCAAAUUAGCAACAGAAGAGGACUUCCUUAACAUGACAAAGAACAUUUAUGAAAACCCACAGCUAACAUCACACUGAAUGGUCAGACUGAAAGUUUUCCUCCUGAGAAAAGGAACAAGACAACAAUUCCUGCUUUCACCACUACUGUUUAACAUUGUACUGGAAAUCGUAGCCAGGGCAAUUUGGCAAGGAAAAGAAAUAAAAGGCAUCCAAAUUGGGAAGGAAGAAGUAAAACCAUUUUUGUUUGCAGAUAACAUGAUUCUAUAUAUAGAAAAAUCCCAUGGAAUCCACACACACACAAAAAAAAUUACUAGAGCUGAUCAAUUCAGCACAGUGGCAGCAUCAGCACACACCUCUAAUGAAUGAUUCAAAAAAGAAUUUAAGAAAACAAUUAUAAUAGUGUCAAAAAGAAGAAAAUACAUAAACAUAAAUUUAACCAAGAGGUGAAAGACUUGUACACUGGAAACUAUAAAACACUGCAGAAAUUAAAGAAGACCUAAAAAAAUGGAAAGAUAUCCCACAAUCAUGGAUUGGAAUGCUUAAUAUUGUUAAGCUGGCAAUCUGAAAAUGGUCCAUAGAUUCAAUGCAAUCUCCACCAAAAUUCUAAUAGCCUUUUGGGCAAAAAAUGAAAAAAACCAAUCUUCAAAUUCAUAUGGAACAGCAAGGGGCUCUGAACAGCCAAAACAAUACUGAAAAAGAAAAACAAAGUAGAAGGACUCCUACUUCCUGAUUUCAAAACUUAUUACAAGUCUACAGUAGUCAAGAGUAUAGUAUUGGCAUAAGAAUAAAUACAUAGAUCAUGGAAUAGAAUUGAGAGUGCAGAAAUAAACAUCUAUGGCCAACUGAUUUCAAGAGGGUCAAGACUAUUCAGUUGGGAAAAAAUAGUUUCUUCAACAAAUCACACUGGACAAGUGGCUAAUCACAUGCAAAAGAAUGAAGUUGGACCCCUACCUCAUUCAUGUAUAAAAAUUGAUUCACAACAGUUCAACAAUCUAAAUUUAGGAGUUAAAACUGUAGAACUCCUAGAAAACAUAUACAUUAAUGUUUAUGAUGUUGGUUUUGGCAAUGGAUUCUUUUGACACCAAAAAUAUGAGCAACAAAGGAAAAAAUAGAUAAAUUGGACUAUGUAAAAAUUUAAACUUUUGUGCAUCAAAGGACAUUAUCAGUACUGUGAAAAGGCAACUUACAGAAUGAGAGAAAAUAUUUACAAAUCAUGUAUCUUAUAAGGGUUUAAUACUCACAAUAAAUAAACAGUCCUACAUUUCAACAACAAAAAACAACCCAACUAAAAAAAAAGAAUAAAAAGGACUUGAAUAAACACUUCUCCAAAGAAGAUAUAUAAGUGGCCAAGAGCACAUGAAAAGAUAUUCAACAAAAUUGAUCAUUAAGGAAAUAUAAAUAAAAUCCACAAUGAGAUACCACUUCACACCCAGUAGGAUGGCUUUAAUUUUUUUUUUAAUGAAAUACAAGUGUUAGUGAAUUGAAUAGAAGCCUUUAUACAUUGCUGGUAGAAAUGUAAAAGAGUAUAGCAACUUGGAAAAGAUUGGAAGUUCAUCCAAUUUGCAGUACUUCAUUGUAUGAUUCCCUUAUAAUAUAUCCAGAAUAGGCAAAUCCAUAGAGAUAAAAAGCAGAAUGGAGGUUACCAGGGAAUAGGGAGAGGGAAGAAGGCGGAGUGACUAUGUAUGGCUGUUUUUGUUGGGUGACAAGAAAGUUUUGAAAUUAGAGCUGCUGGUUAUACAGUAUUGCAAAUACAUUGAAUACCACCAUAUUGUAUACUUUAAAAUGAUUAAUUGUAUAUUUUAUUAUGUUUCUUAAUUUUAAGACUUCAUGUAGAAAAACAUAGAAUUUAUUUUUUGUAAAGACAUGUAUUUCAGGCAUUAAUUUUUAGGCCUUUCCCAAAAUUAUUCUUUUGAAGCUAGUAAUCAAAUAACUAACUUAUUUUUUGAGCCCCUGCUAUCCAUUCAGUAUGCUUUUUCUCCUACUUCUAGUGGCAUUUAAAUUUAGAUUCUUCUCUUAAUGCUCUAACAUCAAAAGUAACCUAUACCCUUACAGAAAUGAGUUUCCAUUCAUUUUUUGUUCAGAUAUAGAUAAGUAAAAAUAGUUUCUAAUGAAUCCAUCAUUUAAAAAAUCCAAUGGUAACUGAAAUUUUCACAUAAAACUGACUUUUACAUUGCAGCUUCUUGAGUUACUCAGCUUUGGUGAGGUUCUGGAAGUUCUCAACUUACAAGAACUGAUUUUUCAUAUUUUAAAUUGUUUUAACAAGGAUUUGAUUUCAUUUAAUAACUACCAUCCAGAACUCUUCAUUCAUAUUUUAUAAAACUACAUUUUAUUAUACAAAUAAUUAUAUGAAAUAAACAUUGCCAGUCAAAGGUUAUGUUCAUACUUUUAUGUCAGCAAAUAAUUUCAAGUUGUUUUUUUUUUUCACAAGAACAGAAUAUGGGUCUUGUUUUGUUUUCUGUUUUGUUUUUGCUUUUGUUUUUUGAGUCAGGGUCUCACUCCAACGCCCAGGCUGGAGUGCGGUGCUGCAAUCGUGGCUCACUGCAGCCCGUCUCCCAGGCUCAAGUGAUUUUCCCACCUCAGCCUCCCAAGUAGCUGGGACUAUAGAUGCAUGCCACCACGCCUAUCUAAUUUUUGUAUUUUUUUGUGGAGAUAGGGUUUCGCCAUUCUGCCAACAGUGGCCUUGAAUGCCUGGGCUCAAGCGAUCUGCCCACCUUGGUCUCCUAAAGUGCUGGGAUUACAGGUGUGAGCCACUGUACCCGGCCUCAAAAUGUGUUUCUAUAAGAAAUCUUCUCACAGAUUUCCAGAAUGUCGGAAAUGAGAAGUUUCUAUAAUAGCAAUUAUCACAGACUCUGCUUGUCAAUAAAGUAGCAAGUAAAUCUUUAAAUGGUCAUAGCAAAACCAACGACCAGUUGCUUUAUUUUUCAUUAUAUUUUCUAGCUGUCAAUACAUUAAGAACACUUGAAAAUAUGCACAGUCACCUACUAAUGAACUAGUACUUUAGAUGUAGUACUUUAGUUGCAUCAGUGGUUCUCAACUAGCUGUGAUUUUUGACCCUCAAAGUAUGUUUGGCAGUGUCUAGAGGAACUUUUGGUUGUCACACCUUGGGGGAGCUACUGGCACCUACUGAGUGGACUUAGGGAUGUUGCUAAUCCUCCAAUAGACUGAACGGCCUCACACAAAAAAAGAAUUAACAAGUCCAAAUGUCAACUUUGAGAAAUCAUGAGCUACAUUAAUGGUCUCAUCCAUUUCCAGCCUAAAAUCUGCAGCUUUAUCUCAGAACAGUUUGCUGAAGCUCGUUUUUUUAUGUCACAAGCUAUAAAUUUGAUUUGUAAUUAUAAGAAUUUAGCUAAACAAUAUAAUCUCAAGAAAAGCAGAGAUUUAGAAUGUUUGAUAGAAAACUGACAGAGAAUGAAACAUAAAAAGGAGAUAUAAAUCAAGUCAGAGCCAUAUAUAACCAAAAUUUAAAUGAAGAUCUGGAUAGAUAUCUAGACCUCUCCAACUUAUUAGUUACAAUUUGCAAUGUAAACAGUACAGGACAUCACUAAAAAUUAAGGGGCAUAGCAGAGGUACUUUCUAUAUUCAUGCCACAUAAAUAUCUUUUCUCGAAGACAAAAUUUUGAAAAACAGCUAUUUAAUUUUAUACUCUUAUUUCAACUUUCAGCAUUGUGUUUAUCUUUGCUGGCACAUUAAGUCUUCUUUGGAAGGAGGUGGGUAUAUAAAUUAAACCAUUUGUUCUUCCUAGUACUUCAUCAAGUAAUAAUAACAAAAAAAAGGAAAUAAAAAAGAAGUUGCAUUCCAAGAGAAGUUUAUUUUUCAAAUUUGCUAGCCCUAUAAAGCACUUUAAAAAAUAAUGCUAUUUAGAUUAUCUUCACUUCCAAGUCAGAUUGUCCCAGAGAAUGCAAAUGUGCUACAUUUGUUACUUCUCCUUACCCUGUUAAUUUCUUGGAAGUUUAAAAAAAAAAAAAAAAAAGGAUUACAAAAUGAAGGACUUUACAUUAAAAUCUCAAUACUGAUCUCUUAGUCAGUUUAAAAGAAAAAUCAAGUUUCACAAAAUAAAUACACUGAAGCAACUAUAAUAGUAAUAACCUUUAUUUAAAAUAGAUUUAAUUUAG
rnacentral:lncRNA from 1 species